GCCUACAGCCAUACCACCCUGAACACGCCUGAUUUCAGAAGCUAAGCAGGGUCAGGCCUGGUUAGUACUUGGAUGGGAGACCACCUGGGAAUACUGGGUGCUGUAGGCU
rnacentral:rRNA from 1 species